GUGACUGAAAGUCAAGAUUCAGUUUGUGAUGAUAGAAAGACUAAAUGCUAGUUACUGAUUGAUACGAACUGAUGACAAAACAAGUUGUAACUUUAAUUUGUAGUACAUUAUUAAAAAAAUCUAUUAUUAAAAAAUCUAUUAAUCUUUUAUUCUGAACGGUAUACUAUUAUAAACCAAAGUUUAGUAUAACAUGGAAGAAGCAUUACAUAAAGCAGAUUUUGCCAAAAGAAUCUGCUAUCAUAUUUUGCUUUCCAGGGAUGAAAAAAAAAAAUAGAUGAAGCUAAAAGAAGAAGAUAUCUGUGAGAACACACUAUAGAGCUUUUAGCUGAUAGAAUUUUGAGAUGAUAAUUAGGAUGAGCUCUUGAAAGUCAUAACGCAUCCAAACUUUGAAAAGGUAUAAUUGUUGUACUGAUGACAGAGCUGCACGGAGAGCAAGUACUUCCACCAUUAAAAGCAAAGAAACCUAAGACACUGACUCUGAACAAUUGACGAGCAGCUCCCAUUGAGUAGGGUCAAAAACCCAAAAAAUCUAGAGAAAUUGUUUAAAGUAAGUCUUAAUCAAAAUACCUUCACAUUUGAAAUUAAGAUUUAGUGAUUAUUGUUUAGGGUUUAGUAUUUAGGGGUUAGGUUUGGUUUAUAAACUUCUAUUAGUAUUUUUUUUUAAAAUUCUUAAUUAUUUAUAAAUAAUUUUUGAGAGUUAAUAUAAUUAUUUUAAUCACAAAUUUAAGGUAUUUAUGAAAAUAAUUAUCCUUUAAAAAUAAAUUUGAAAAAUGGUAUCAAACUUGUUAAAAUUGAUAUUCUCCCAAAAAUCUAUUAAUUUAUUAACUUUUUAUUUAAUUAUAAUUAUUUGAUGAAAACUUGUCACAAACUAUUAGAAGAUAAAAAAAAUUCUUAAAAACAAUGAAAUUUUAUAACAAAUUUUCAAACAAAGUCUAAUCAUGAUUAUUCUCAAAUCUAACACGUAUAAUAGUUAUAAAAUUUUAAGAUUCUGUGUAAAUUUAUUUUGGGAUUAAAAAUAUUAGUAAGUAGGGGUUAUUGGUUCUAGUAUUU
rnacentral:lncRNA from 1 species